rfam:Cordyceps militaris CM01 unplaced genomic scaffold CCM_S00004, whole genome shotgun sequence.
GCGAGUCUGGCCGAGUGGUUAAGGCGUUGUGUUUAGGACAGUCUGUUUCCCCUGUGGAGAGACGAUAGAAUAUCCAAAACCGCAAUGGGCAUCGCCCGCGUAGGUUCGAUCCCUACGGCUCGCA